UACGAAGGGGGCUAGCGUUGUUCGGAAUCACUGGGCGUAAAGCGCACGUAGGCGGAUUGUUAAGUCGGGGGUGAAAUCCUGAGGCUCAACCUCAGAACUGCCUUCGAUACUGGCAAUCUCGAGUCCGGAAGAGGUUGGUGGAACAGCUAGAGUAGAGGUGAAAUUCGUAGAUAUUAGCUAGAACACCAGUGGCGAAGGCGGCCAACUGGUCCGGUACUGACGCUGAGGUGCGAAAGCGUGGGGAGCAAACAGG
rnacentral:rRNA from 1 species